GACGAACGCUGGCGGCGUGCUUAACACAUGCAAGUCGAACGGAAAGGCCCUGCUUUUGUGGGGUGCUCGAGUGGCGAACGGGUGAGUAACACGUGAGUAACCUGCCCUUGACUUUGGGAUAACUUCAGGAAACUGGGGCUAAUACCGGAUAGGAGCUCCUGCUGCAUGGUGGGGGUUGGAAAGUUUCGGCGGUUGGGGAUGGACUCGCGGCUUAUCAGCUUGUUGGUGGGGUAGUGGCUUACCAAGGCUUUGACGGGUAGCCGGCCUGAGAGGGUGACCGGCCAAAUUGGGAAGGAGAUACGGCCCAGACUCCUACGGGAGGAAGCAGUGGGGAAUAUGGCACAAUGGGCGGAAGCCUGAUGCAGCAACGCCGCGUGCGGGAUGACGGCCUUCGGGUUGUAAACCGCUUUCGCCUGUGACGAAGCGUGAGUGACGGUAAUGGGUAAAGAAGAACCGGCUAACUACGU
rnacentral:rRNA from 1 species